rnacentral:rRNA from 1 species
UGGGGAAUCUUGCACAAUGGGGGCAACCCUGAUGCAGCGACGCCGCGUGAGCGAUGAAGCCCUUCGGGGCGUAAAGCUCUUUCGACCGGAACGAUAAUGACGGUACCGGGAGAAGAAGCUGCGGCUAACUACGUGCCAGCAGCCGCGGUAAUACGUAGGCAGCAAGCGUUGUUCGGAGUUACUGGGCGUAAAGAGUGCGUAGGCGGUUUUCUAAGUUCGGUGUGAAAUCUCCCGGCUUAACUGGGAGGGUGCGCCGAAGACUGGGAAGCUGGAGUGUGGGAAGCAAACC